rnacentral:tRNA from 1 species
GGCGUGGUGGCCGAGUGGUGAGGCGUUGGUCUCGCAAACCAAAGGUCAUGGACCCCCAUCCACGCCU